AAAAAAGGUAAGCUACUAAGAGCGAAUGGUGGAUGCCUUGACUGGUAAAGGCGAUGAAGGACGUACUAGACUGCGAUAAGCUACGGGGAGCUGUCAAGAAGCUUUGAUCCGUAGAUUUCCGAAUGGGGCAACCCAAUGUAUAGAGAUAUGCAUUACCUAUAUAGGAGCGAACGAGGGGAAUUGAAACAUCUUAGUACCCUCAGGAAAAGAAAUCAAUAGAGAUUGCGUCAGUAGCGGCGAGCGAAAGCGCAAGAGGGCAAACCCAGUGCUUGCACUGGGGGUUGUAGGACUGCAAUGUGCAAGAGCUGAGUUUAGCAGAACAUUCUGGAAAGUAUAGCCAUAGAGGGUGAUAGUCCCGUAUGCGAAAAACAAAGCUUAGCUAGCAGUAUCCUGAGUAGGGCGGGACACGAGGAAUCCUGUCUGAAUCCGGGUCGACCACGAUCCAACCCUAAAUACUAAUACCAGAUCGAUAGUGCACAAGUACCGUGAGGGAAAGGUGAAAAGAACUGAGGUGAUCAGAGUGAAAUAGAACCUGAAACCAUUUGCUUACAAUCAUUCAGAGCACUAUGUAGCAAUACAGUGUGAUGGACUGCCUUUUGCAUAAUGAGCCUGCGAGUUGUGGUGUCUGGCAAGGUUAAGCAAACGCGAAGCCGUAGCGAAAGCGAGUCUGAAUAGGGCGCUUAGUCAGAUGCUGCAGACCCGAAACGAAGUGAUCUAUCCAUGAGCAAGUUGAAGCUAGUGUAAGAACUAGUGGAGGACUGAACCCAUAGGCGUUGAAAAGCCCCGGGAUGACUUGUGGAUAGGGGUGAAAGGCCAAUCAAACUUCGUGAUAGCUGGUUCUCUCCGAAAUAUAUUUAGGUAUAGCGUUGUGUCGUAAUAUAAGGGGGUAGAGCACUGAAUGGGCUAGGGCAUACACCAAUGUACCAAACCCUAUCAAACUCCGAAUACCUUAUAUGUAAUCACAGCAGUCAGGCGGCGAGUGAUAAAAUCCGUCGUCAAGAGGGAAACAACCCAGACUACCAGCUAAGGUCCCUAAAUCUUACUUAAGUGGAAAACGAUGUGAAGUUACUUAAACAACCAGGAGGUUGGCUUAGAAGCAGCCAUCCUUUAAAGAAAGCGUAAUAGCUCACUGGUCUAGUGAUUUUGCGCGGAAAAUAUAACGGGGCUAAAGU
rnacentral:rRNA from 2 species